rnacentral:rRNA from 1 species
GGGGUGGUGGGUGGCUGGUCGUUGUUUGAGAACUGCACAGUGGACGCGAGCAUCUGUGGCCAAGUUUUUAAGGGCGCACGGUGGAUGCCUUGGCACCAGGAACCGAUGAAGGACGUGGGAGGCCACGAUAGGCCCCGGGGAGUCGUCAACCAGGCUUUGAUCCGGGGGUGUCCGAAUGGGGAAACCCGGCAGUCGUCAUGGGCUGUCACCCUUGCCUGAACACAUAGGGCAAGUGGAGGGAACGCGGGGAAGUGAAACAUCUCAGUACCCGCAGGAAGAGAAAACAACCGUGAUUCCGGGAGUAGUGGCGAGCGAAACCGGAUGAGGCUAAACCUACGACGUGUGAGACCCGGCAGGGGUUGCGUCGUGGGGGUUGUGGGAUCUCUCUUCCACGGUCUGCCGGCCGUGGGACGAGUCAGAAACCGUUGAUGUAGGCGAAGGACAUGCGAAAGGUCCGGCGUAGAGGGUAAGACCCCCGUAGUCGAAACGUCAGCGGCUCGUUUGAGAGACACCCAAGUAGCACGGGGCCCGAGAAAUCCCGUGUGAAUCUGGCGGGACCACCCGCUAAGCCUAAAUAUUCCCUGGUGACCGAUAGCGGAUAGUACCGUGAGGGAAUGGUGAAAAGUACCCCGGGAGGGGAGUGAAAUAGUACCUGAAACCGUGUGCCUACAAGCCGUGGGAGCGUCGGAACAAGGCUUGCCUUGUUCUCGUGACUGCGUGCCUUUUGAAGAAUGAGCCUGCGAGUUUGCGGUGUGUUGCGAGGUUAACCCGGGUGGGGUAGCCGUAGCGAAAGCGAGUCCGAACAGGGCGCUUUGAGUAGCACGCUCAAGACCCGAAGCGGAGUGAUCUAGCCAUGGGCAGGUUGAAGCGGAGGUAAGACUUCGUGGAGGACCGAACCCACCAGGGUUGAAAACCUGGGGGAUGACCUGUGGUUAGGGGUGAAAGGCCAAUCAAACUCCGUGAUAGCUGGUUCUCCCCGAAAUGCAUUUAGGUGCAGCGUCGUGUGUUUCUUGCCGGAGGUAGAGCACUGGAUAGGCGAUGGGCCCUACCGGGUUACUGACCUUAGCCAAACUCCGAAUGCCGGUAAGUGAGAGCGCGGCAGUGAGACUGUGGGGGAUAAGCUCCAUGGUCGAGAGGGAAACAGCCCAGAGCAUCGACUAAGGCCCCUAAGCGUACGCUAAGUGGGAAAGGAUGUGGAGUCGCAGAGACAACCAGGAGGUUGGCUUAGAAGCAGCCACCCUUGAAAGAGUGCGUAAUAGCUCACUGGUCUAGUGAUUCCGCGCCGACAAUGUAGCGGGGCUCAAGCGUACCGCCGAAGUCGUGUCAUUGCAGCACUACUCCCAACGGAGGCUGUGAUGGGUAGGGGAGCGUCGUCUGCCGGGUGAAGCAGCCGCGUAAGCGAGUUGUGGACGGUUGACGAGUGAGAAUGCAGGCAUGAGUAGCGAUUCACACGUGGGAAACGUGUGCGCCGAUUGACUAAGGGUUCCUGGGUCAAGCUGAUCUGCCCAGGGUAAGUCGGGACCUAAGGCGAGGCCGACAGGCGUAGUCGAUGGAUAACCGGUUGAUAUUCCGGUACCCGCUGUGAAGCGUCAAACAUCGAA